GCCGUUGUAGCUCAGUUGGCAGAGCAAUUCCUUGGUAAGGAGUAGGUCUCGGGUUCGAGUCCCGACAACGGCU
rnacentral:tRNA from 1 species